CCUACGGGAGGCAGCAGUGGGGAAUAUUGCACAAUGGGCGAAAGCCUGAUGCAGCGACGCCGCGUGAGGGAUGACGGCCUUCGGGUUGUAAACCUCUUUCAGCAGGGAAGAAGCGAGAGUGACGGUACCUGCAGAAGAAGCGCCGGCUAACUACGUGCCAGCAGCCGCGGUAAUACGUAGGGCGCAAGCGUUGUCCGGAAUUAUUGGGCGUAAAGAGCUCGUAGGCGGCUUGUUGCGUCGGUUGUGAAAGCCCGGGGCUUAACCCCGGGUCUGCAGUCGAUACGGGCAGGCUAGAGUGUGGUAGGGGAGAUCGGAAUUCCUGGUGUAGCGGUGAAAUGCGCAGAUAUCAGGAGGAACACCGGUGGCGAAGGCGGAUCUCUGGGCCAUUACUGACGCUGAGGAGCGAAAGCGUGGGGAGCGAACAGGAUUAGAUACCCUGGUAGUCCACGCCGUAAACGUUGGGAACUAGGUGUUGGCGACAUUCCACGUCGUCGGUGCCGCAGCUAACGCAUUAAGUUCCCCGCCUGGGGAGUACGGCCGCAAGGCUAAAACUCAAAGGAAUUGA
rnacentral:rRNA from 1 species